rnacentral:miRNA from 1 species
ACAGGCGUGUGUGUGUGUGUGUGUGUGUGUGUGUGUGUGUGUGUGUGCCCGGGCGCACGCGUGCAUGCUCGCAGACAGA